rnacentral:rRNA from 1 species
GACGAACGCUGGCGGCGUGCUUAAUAACAUGCAAGUCAACUGAGCUUAAGAUAGCAAUAUUUUAAGUGCGGUGGCGCACGGGUGAGUAACACGUAGGUAAUCUGCCUUUAGGUCUGACAUAAUCCCGCGAAAGCGGGACUAAAAUCAGAUGAUGCAGCGGCUCGACAUCGAGACAGUUGUUAAACCUCGGGCCUAAGAUGAGCCUGCGUCUGAUUAGGAGUU